AGGACGCCUGGGUUCUCUCCCUGGCUCUGGGAGGAGUGCGGGGGCUAGUGGUUAGCGCAGGGGAGCUGAGAGCCCUGGUCCUGUCACUGACCCUGCGCAAGUCACUUCCCUUCUCGGUGGGCGUCAGUUUCCCCAGCACCCUCUGCGCAGCCCCGUCCCCUGCAGCGUGGUGCCCCCUAGUCCCGCCUCGGGGUCACACGGACUGAACGGGCCAAGAUGAGUCGAGGCCCGAGGGCGAGUCAGACCCACGCGUCCCGAGGGGCUGGGUAGGAAGGGGAGAGACAGAGGGUGGGGGCUGGACCCCCGGGGGAGCAUCAACCCAUGGGAGAAGGGAGCACAGGCUUGCACCUGCCCCCCCAGCAUCGUUGCUGCAGCCGGGGAACACCCCCCCCCCACCCCAGUAAGGCGGCGGAGCUCACCUCCAGCACCUGUGGCUGCAGGGUUUCGGCCCCACCAGGACACACACCAUGGCCACCAGCAGCAGGGCGGACGCCGUCACCGAGGCCGCAGCCACCAUGGGGAUGGAGGAGACAGUGAUGACCGAGCCGGGGUGAGGCACCGGGGAUCCUGGGGGGGAGGAGAAGGUCAGCGGGUCACACACAGCAGCUGGGACAUUUCACAGCCACCUGCAGCUCAAGGCGGCCAGAUCUCCGGUACCAGCCCCCUCAAACUCGAGCCCGACCCCCAAGGGGAUGCAUUAAACAACAAGCAGCCAGAGGGACUCGAAACCCAGAUGGGAGACAUGCACCCUCCAGGCCCUAGAUGGCUCUCAGGUGCCAGGAAGGCAGGUGCCUCUAUAGAGGGAAAUCCCACCGCACCUGGCAACACCAAGACCUGGGGGACCUUGGUUGCACAGAAUCCAGCCAAGAUGGGGGUCCCCCUCUUGUGCCAGGCGCCGCCCAGACCCAGGGACACUGCCCACCCCCCCUUGCCGGUCUCUCACAGCUCAGUCUAAAUAGGCAAAGGGUGGGUGGGGAAACUGAGGCACGGGGCGAUGCGGUGACUUGUCCAAGGUCAUCCAGCU
rnacentral:lncRNA from 1 species